rnacentral:rRNA from 1 species
GUCCACGCCGUAAACGAUGAAUGCUAGGUGUAGGGGCUUUAAGCUUCUGUGCCGCAGUUAACACAAUAAGCAUUCCACCUGGGGAGUACGGCCGCAAGGUUGAAACUCAAAGGAAUUGACGGGAGCCCGCACAAGCAGUGGAGUAUGUGGUUUAAUUCGACGCAACGCGAAGAACCUUACCAGGUCUUGACAUCCUGAGAACCCGGCGUAAUGGCUGGGGUGCCCUUCGGGGAAUUCAGAGACAGGUGGUGCAUGGUUGUCGU